CGUGAAACUAAAAGUAACGUUGACUUAUUUUGUCACGUCAGUCUUUAGUCAUGUGACUCGUCGGUAGCAUCGGUCCCGUGAGUCAGUGACGUUAACGUCGACCACGAGCAUUUCCUAACGCUAACUAAGUGGUUGUGUUGCCUAAACCCAACUUCCUGUGAAAACGGAAGUUUAUUUUGAAAAGAC